rnacentral:rRNA from 1 species
AAACUCCAUCUAAGGCUAAAUACGACCACGAGACCGAUAACGAACAAGUACAGUGAGAGAAAGUUGAAAAGAAGUUUGAAGAAAGAGUUCAAGAGUACGUGAAACCGUUCAGGGGUAAACCUGAGAUACCCAAAAGAUCGAAUGGGGAGAUUCAUCGUCAGCGUCGAUGGCUUGCAUAUGCAUGCGAUGGUCGGGACUUCGUUCUCGUGUCACGCGAUCGCUGUGGUAUGUCCGUCAUCGUCGUCGUGCACUUCUCCCCUAGUAGGACGUCGCGACCCGUUGGGUGCCGGCAUACGGCCCGGUUGGUCGACUUUCGCGUCGCGUUCACGCGUGCACGCGGCAGACCACCGGUCGCCCGGCCGGUUGCCCGGCGGUAUAGAUCGCUAUAAAACGGUAUUGGGCCGCAUUAAGUGCGUUCUGGCUCGUCGGCAGGCUCGUCUCGCUCGGUUUUACGGACCUAGUGCCGUUGCCGGGCGCUUGAUGUGGCCGUUAGUCGACGAUGUCCUCGAACUGGCUCUUACAUUCGAACGGAUUUACCGGUCGGCGA